AUUGAACGCUGGCGGCAGGCCUAACACAUGCAAGUCGAACGGCAGCACAGAAGAGCUUGCUCUUUGGGUGGCGAGUGGCGGACGGGUGAGUAAUGUCUGGGAACCUGCCCGAUGGAGGGGGAUAACUACUGGAAACGGUAGCUAAUACCGCAUAACGUCGCGAGACCAAAGUGGGGGACCUUCGGGCCUCCCACCAUCGGAUGUGCCCAGAUGGGAUUAGCUAGUAGGUGGGGUAAUGGCUCACCUAGGCGACGAUCCCUAGCUGGUCUGAGAGGAUGACCAGCCACACUGGAACUGAGACACGGUCCAGACUCCUACGGGAGGCAGCAGUGGGGAAUAUUGCACAAUGGGCGCAAGCCUGAUGCAGCCAUGCCGCGUGUAUGAAGAAGGCCUUCGGGUUGUAAAGUACUUUCAGCGGGGAGGAAGGCGGUGAGGUUAAUAACCUCGCCGAUUGACGUUACCCGCAGAAGAAGCACCGGCUAACUCCGUGCCAGCCGCCGCUGUAA
rnacentral:rRNA from 1 species